GAUGAACGCUGGCGGCGUGCCUAAUACAUGCAAGUCGAGCGAACAGACGAGGAGCUUGCUCCUCUGACGUUAGCGGCUGACGGGUGAGUAACACGUGGAUAACCUACCUAUAAGACUGGGAUAACUUCGUGAAACCGGAGCUAAUACCGGAUAAUAUAUUGAACCGCAUGGUUCAAUAGUGAAAGACGGUUUUGCUGUCACUUAUAGAUGGAUCCGCGCCGCAUUAGCUAGUUGGUAAGGUAACGGCUUACCAAGGCGACGAUGCGUAGCCGACCUGAGAGGGUGAUCGGCCACACUGGAACUGAGACACGGUCCAGACUCCUACGGGAGGCAGCAGUAGGGAAUAUUCCGCAAUGGGCGAAAGCCUGACGGAGCAACGCCGCGUGAGUGAUGAAGGUCUUCGGAUCGUAAAACUCUGUUAUUAGGGAAGAAAAAAAGUGUAAGUAACUAUGGACGUUUUGACGGUACCUAAUCAGAAAGCCACGGCUAACUACGUG
rnacentral:rRNA from 1 species